UGGGCGUAAGCGCGCGCAGGCGGUUUCUUAAGUCUGAUGUGAAAGCCCCCGGCUCAACCGGGGAGGGUCAUUGGAAACUGGGGAACUUGAGUGCAGAAGAGGAGAGUGGAAUUCCACGUGUAGCGGUGAAAUGCGUAGAGAUGUGGAGGAACACCAGUGGCGAAGGCGACUCUCUGGUCUGUAACUGACGCUGAGGCGCGAAAGCGUGGGGAGCGAACAGGAUUAGAUACCCUGGUAGUCCACGCCGUAAACGAUGAGUGCUAAGUGUUAGAGGGUUUCCGCCCUUUAGUGCUGCAGCAAACGCAUUAAGCACUCCGCCUGGGGAGUACGGUCGCAAGACUGAAACUCAAAGGAAUUGACGGGGGCCCGCACAAGCGGUGGAGCAUGUGGUUUAAUUCGAAGCAACGCGAAGAACCUUACCAGGUCUUGACAUCCUCUGACAACCCUAGAGAUAGGGCUUCCCCUUCGGGGGCAGAGUGACAGGUGGUGCAUGGUUGUCGUCAGCUCGUGUCGUGAGAUGUUGGGUUAAGUCCCGCAACGAGCGCAACCCUUGAUCUUAGUUGCCAGCAUUCAGUUGGGCACUCUAAGGUGACUGCCGGUGACAAACCGGAGGAAGGUGGGGAUGACGUCAAAUCAUCAUGCC
rnacentral:rRNA from 1 species